UACGGGGGGGGUAAGCGUUGUUCGGAAUUACUGGGCGUAAAGGGCUCGUAGGCGGCCAACUAAGUCAUACGUGAAAUCCCUCAGCUUAACUGGGGAACUGCGUGUGAUACUGGAUGGCUUGGAUUUGGGAGAGGGAUGCGGAAUUCCAGGUGUAGCGGUGAAAUGCGCAGAUAUCAGGAAGAACACCCGUGGCGAAGGCGGCUCUCUGGUACGUGACUGACGCUGAGACGCGAAAGCGUGGGGAGCAAACAGG
rnacentral:rRNA from 1 species